rnacentral:rRNA from 1 species
UACGGGGGGGGGCAAGCGUUGUUCGGAAUUACUGGGCGUAAAGGGCGCGUAGGCGGUCUGUUAAGUCUAGGGUGAAAGCUCCCGGCUCAACUGGGAGAGGUCCUUGGAUACUGGCGGACUUGAGGGAGGCAGAGGAAAGUGGAAUUCCCGGUGUAGUGGUGAUAUGCGUAGAUAUCGGGAAGAACACCCCGUGGCGAAGGCGGUUCUCUGGGACGGUACUGACGCUGAGACGCGAAAGCGUGGGGAGCAAACAGG